rnacentral:misc_RNA from 1 species
UUUCUCUUUACACUUUCAAACCUUCCUCCUCUAAAAAACCCUCUCUGUUUCUCAACUUUCUGCUGUGAAAAUGCGUGAGAUUCUUCACAUUCAAGGUGGCCAAUGCGGUAACCAAAUCGGAUCCAAGUUCUGGGAAGUUGUGUGUGCGGAGCAUGGGAUUGAUUCAACCGGAAGGUACCAGGGAGACACAGAUCUACAACUUGAGAGGGUGAAUGUGUAUUACAAUGAAGCUAGUGGUGGACGGUUUGUUCCUAGGGCUGUGCUUAUGGAUCUGGAACCAGGGACCAUGGACAGUAUCAGAUCUGGGACUUAUGGCCAGAUCUUUCGUCCUGAUAACUUUGUUUUUGGCCAAUCUGGUGCUGGGAACAACUGGGCUAAGGGUCAUUACACUGAG